rnacentral:rRNA from 1 species
AUUGAACGCUGGCGGCAGGCCUAACACAUGCAAGUCGGACGGUAGCACAGAGGAGCUUGCUCCUCGGGUGACGAGUGGCGGACGGGUGAGUAAUGUCUGGGGAUCUGCCCGAUAGAGGGGGAUAACCACUGGAAACGGUGGCUAAUACCGCAUAACGUCGCAAGACCAAAGAGGGGGACCUUCGGGCCUCUCACUAUCGGAUGAACCCAGAUGGGAUUAGCUAGUAGGCGGGGUAACGGCCCACCUAGGCGACGAUCCCUAGCUGGUCUGAGAGGAUGACCAGCCACACUGGAACUGAGACACGGUCCAGACUCCUACGGGAGGCAGCAGUGGGGAAUAUUGCACAAUGGGCGCAAGCCUGAUGCAGCCAUGCCGCGUGUAUGAAGAAGGCCUUCGGGUUGUAAAGUACUUUCAGCGGGGAGGAAGGCGAUGUGGUUAAUAACCGCGUCGAUUGACGUUACCCGCAGAAGAAGCACCGGCUAACUCCGUGCCAGCAGCCGCCGCGGUAA